AUUGAACGCUGGCGGCAUGCCUAACACAUGCAAGUCGAACGGAGGUAGGGGCAACUCUACUUCAGUGGCGGACGGGUGAGGAAUGCGUCGGAAUCUACCCUAUGGUGGGGGAUAACACAGGGAAACUUGUGCUAAUACCGCAUAAUGUCGAGAGACCAAAGCAGGGGACCGCAAGGCCUUGCGCGAUAGGAUGAGCCGACGCCCGAUUAGCUAGUUGGUAGGGUAAAGGCCUACCAAGGCGACGAUCGGUAGCUGGUCUGAGAGGAUGAUCAGCCACACUGGGACUGAGACACGGCCCAGACUCCUACGGGAGGCAGCAGUGGGGAAUAUUGGACAAUGGGCGCAAGCCUGAUCCAGCAAUGCCGCGUGUGUGAAGAAGGCCUGCGGGUUGUAAAGCACUUUUGUUCGGGAAGAAAUCAUGCUGGUUAAUACCUGGUAUGGAUGACGGUACCGAAGAAUAAGCACCGGCUAACUUCGUGCCAGCAGCC
rnacentral:rRNA from 1 species